GGUAUUAAUAUGCUUUAAUAUUACUGUUGGUCUAGUCUGGUACAGAUCUUCUUAAGAUAAGUAAAACAUAAUUUAUUUAACACAUAUUAAAAAUAAUAUGUGUCCAUAGCGACACCUAAUAUUCCUAAUGCAAUACAAGGAAGUAUAAACAAAUGUCUCACACUAACAAAGUUACUGGAUUAGUCAAAUGGUUUGAUGCUGGUAAAGGUUUUGGUUUCAUCACCCCUACUGACGGCAGCAGGGAUGUAUUUGUGCAUUUUUCUGCCAUCCAAAGCAAUAAUUUUAAAACUUUGGACGAAGGCCAGCGCGUAGAAUUUACCAUUGAGCAGGGUCAAAAAGGACCUUCUGCGGCUAAUGUAGUUGCCCUGUAAGUAAUACGAUCAACAAAAUUUUGUUGAUAAAUUGU
rfam:Candidatus Moranella endobia PCIT, complete genome.